UACGUAGGUGGCAAGCGUUGUCCGGAUUUACUGGGCGUAAAGAGCUCGUAGGUGGUUUGUCGCGUUGUCCGUGAAAACUCACAACUCAAUUGUGGGCGUGCGGGCGAUACGGGCAGACUGGAGUACUGCAGGGGAGACUGGAAUUCCUGGUGUAGCGGUGGAAUGCGCAGAUAUCAGGAGGAACACCGGUGGCGAAGGCGGGUCUCUGGGCAGUAACUGACGCUGAGGAGCGAAAGCGUGGGGAGCAAACAGG
rnacentral:rRNA from 1 species